GAUGAACGCUGGCGGCGUGCCUAAUACAUGCAAGUCGAGCGAACGGAAGAGAAGCUUGUUUUUCUGAUGUUAGCGGCGGACGGGUGAGUAACACGUGGACAACCUACCUAUAAGACUGGGAUAACUUCGGGAAACCGGAGCUAAUACCGGAUAAUAUUUUGAACCGAAUGGUUCAAAAGUGAAAGACGGUCUUGCUGUCCCUUAUAGAUGGACCGGCGCUGCAUUAGCGAGUUGGUAAGGUAACGGCUUACCAAGGCAACGAGGCAUAGCUGACCUGAGAGAGUGAUCGUCGACACUGGAACUGAGACACGGGCCAGACUCCUACGGGAAGAAGCAGUAGGGAAUCUUCCGCAAUGGGCGAAAGCCUGACGGAGCAACGCCGCGUGGGUGAUGAAGGUCUUCGGAUCGUAAAACUCUGUUAUUAGGGAAGAACAUAUGUGUAAGCAACUGUGCACGUCUUGACGGUACCUAAGCAGAAAGCAACGGCUAACUACGUG
rnacentral:rRNA from 1 species